rnacentral:rRNA from 1 species
GUGCAUGGCCGUUCUUAGUUCGUGGAGUGAUCUGUCUGCUUAAUUGCGUUUCAAAACAACUGAUACACAGAGUCUUGGCACAGUUCAGUUUAAUGGCGUCGAGUAUCUUUGAUUUCGACAGUAGUCCAACUCGGUUCGCCAGGGUCUCUUUUGAACGCAACGGACGUGAUCGCAACCCUUUGUUGAGUGAUGUCAGCACUCUACGUCUAUCCUAGCUCGUUGAUCGCAAGUGAGAGUUGGGUGGGCAAACUCAGGGGACAGCUUCAACUAUUCUUCUUCAAACUAGAGGAAGGUUGCGGCAAUAACAGGUCUGUGAUGCCCUCAGAUGUUCUAGGCUGCACACGUGCUACAUUGAUCAGCACAAUGCGAUACAUUUCGAAAGGAAACAUCGGUUUUAAGGUAACGUCGAUUGCCUACCGAUAGCACCUGGUCCCCAGUGGACUGGGCAAUCUCUUCUAAAUGCUGGUAAGGUACCCACACUCGAGCUAUUUAAUCACACGCGGGAGGCACACACGGUUCAAAUCUCAUUUGCGACUGUUGCCGCCAUGACGUAUGCAACUUGUCAAUUCUUCGUGGGGAUCGUCGAUUGCAACUAUUCGACUCGCCACAACUAGGAAUGCCU